AGUCAAGUAAUUAAGUGCAUGUGGUGGAUGCCUUGGCAGUCAGAGGCGAUGAAAGACGUGAUAGCCUGCGAAAAGCUCCGGGGAG
rnacentral:rRNA from 1 species